AACCGACCCAUCAUUUAAUAUAUAUAUAUUUUUUAUUACUAAUAAUAAUUAAUAACUAUAAUGACGCCGUUUCAUCGUUUGAUCUAUUCCUUUUGUUUCCUCUCCCACUCACACUUUGUUAUUUUUCCAAACCCUAGCAGAGUGAAACACUCAGCCGCCGUCCACUCGUUCCUUCGUUUUCUCAACUCGUUCGUUCGAUUUCCCUCCACCGCCGUCAAACUCAAAGUAUCCACCAUCUAUCUCCUCCAUUUUCUUCGUUUUCGAUUUCUUUACAUAAGAAGAAAGAUAUAAAACUCCUCAUGGCUGAGAAACAAAGAGGCUACACUUCUUUGCGAGGUUGAAGGCGUAGACAAAGGUUAGAGUUUUGAUCUGUUUNNNNNNNNNNNNNNNNNNUUUAAAUCUACAUGGUAAAUAAUAAUCUCCAGAUCUACACAUUCCUCUUCAGAUCUACAUGGAAUGUGGAACCUGAGAUUUGUUUGAAGACCUGAGAGAGCUUAGGUUGUGUUUCUGCGAUUUUGUUUUUGGAAUCUUGUUUUUUUUUUUCUGGUCUGUAGACUUAGCCUUUGAUGUAGCAAUUUUAGUUGCAAUUUCCUUGGCUUUUGCUGUUCUGUUUUUGGUUUUAGUGGGUUUGGUUCAGGAAGAGCUUUUGUCUUCCUUGCCUCUCCCUUUAGUGGGUUUGCAGUAUUAAAAAAAAAAGAUCUACAUAGUAUCUUAUUUUUAUUUGAUUUAUGAUUUAUGGUUCAUUGNNN
rnacentral:lncRNA from 1 species